CUCAGGUGAUCCACCCACCUCAGCCUCCCAAAGUAAUGGGAUUACAGGCAUGAGCCACCGCGCCCAGCCUGUUUAAUUUCCUAAUGUUUACUGAGACUUUUCAAGAGUGGGAGAGGGAUAUAAUAUACAGCAUUCCUCAGUUUAUUUAGCCACUGAAUUUAUUUUUUGUAAGCAUCUCAAGGAACUUGAGCCCAAAUUUUGCAAAACUGCAUGUAAUAUACAAUAUUGCUUUUGUUCACCUUUUCCAGGUACUUUAAGAAAAUAUUUAUUUUAUCUCAUUUAGAAAAAUUUUUAAAUUAAGAUAUUGAGAACUUGAUUUGCCCAAGGUCAUAAUCAGUUAAUACUGGAGUCAGAAUUAGAAUCUAGGUCUGGCCACAAUUUCAGGUGUCUUCUUUUAAAGUUAUUUAUUUUUAAACACUUUUUUUUUUUUUUUGAUACAGGAUCUCACUCUGUCACCCAGGUUGGACUGCAGUGGCAUGAUCGAAGCUCACUAUAGCCUUGACCUCCCCAGGCUCAGGAGUGACUCAGAAUCCAGCCACCUUGGAUAUAAGGAAGCAGAGCAACCUCAUGGAGAAGCCGCGUAGGUGUUCCUGCUGACAAUCCUAGCCGAGAUCCCAGUCAACAGCCAGCAUAACUUCAGACGUAUGUUGAAGUAAAAUAAAAUGGAGACCAGGCCUGAAGAAUCUCUGAGCAGACAAAACCAGUUAGGCCUCAUAAUUGACCUCAACCUUGAUUUACAAACACAAGGGAAACUUAUGUUGAGCCAUUUCUUGUAAAUGCCUGUAUUAAAGAAAAAAAACUUAAGCUCAACCAGUUGGAAAUAGCCAAAAACUUACAUAACUAGGGACUUUCCAACAAGGUGAAUGAAUGAAUAAGGCAACUAUAUAAUUGCAAUCAAUCAAAUUAUUUAUUUUGUUUCCACAUUUACUCCAUAAAUACUUGCCCCUGAUGAUUUGUCAUGAGAAAAAUUAAACUUCUUUCAGUUUGGUAUUUCCCGAUUCAUUAACUGCUUCCUACUCAAAUGAACUCUUAAAACUUUUUUUGUGCCUUAGUUUACCUUUUACAUAUGUGAAUGAGCAAUUCCAAAUGAUUCCAGCCCCAAGCUUUCAAGUCAUCUCAGGCUUCCAAGUCUUCUCAGCUGAAGUCUCAGUGAUUCUGAAGCAGAAACAAGUCAUCCCCACUAUACCCUUUUCAAAUUCUUGACCCACAGAAUCCAUGACAUAAUAAACUGGUUGCUGUUUUA